CAAGCCUCCUGCUCUCACUUUUUCUAUCAACACCCACACAGAGACUGGAUUAUCUAUAAUAUGUUUACAGGUAAAAUGCACAUAAAAGCCUUUCUCAAGGACUCCAUAAAUUUAAAACAUAACUUUUAAUGGAGUAUGUUGACAAUCACAAAUACUAAAAUAUAUCCUCGAAGCAAAGUUCACCUGUAGCAUCGAAGUUUUAAAUAGCCUAGGAGUUCUUUAAAUGUUAAGGCAGACUGUCACGUAUAGGGGAAAUGUUGACUGGUUGACUGAAGUAGAGUCAGUGUGCAAUGAGUUGGUCAAUCAGAGAGGAAGUUUUGGAGUUAUAGAAUCAGUUAGUAAGUUGCUAGUUUUGGAGGGAAGAAAGGAAGUAGUUAUAUAGCUGUUAUAGAAUCUGUUAUAGUCAGUUAUGUGUGUCUGUGACAGUUACCAAGAGUAGACUGAGUAUAAAAUGAAGG
rnacentral:misc_RNA from 1 species